rnacentral:rRNA from 1 species
CGUUGUUCGGAAUUACUGGGCGUAAAGCGUGCGCAGGCGGUUUGUUAAGUCCGCUGUGAAAUCCCCGAGCUCAACUUGGGAAUUGCAGUGGAUACUGGCAAGCUGGAGUAUGGUAGAGGAAGGUGGAAUUCCCGGUGUAGCAGUGAAAUGCGUAGAGAUCGGGAGGAACACCAGUGGCGAAGGCGGCCUUCUGGACCAAUACUGACGCUCAUGCACGAAAGCGUGGGGAGCAAACAGG